AACGUAGGUGGCGAGCGUUAUCCGGAUUUACUGGGCGUAAAGGGUGUGCAGGCGGGCUGUUAAGUGGUGUAUGAAAUCGCCGGGCUCAACCGGGCGAGGUUAUGCCAGACUGGCAGUCUAGAGAGCGAGAGAGGGACGUGGAAUUCCGGGUGUAGUGGUGAAAUGCGUAGAGAUCCGGAGGAACCCCAGAGGCGAAGGCGGCGUCCUGGCUCGCAUCUGACGCUCAGACGCGACAGCAUGGGGAGCGAACGGG
rnacentral:rRNA from 1 species